AGUGAACGCUGGCGGUAGGCCUAACACAUGCAAGUCGAACGGCAGCACAGUAAGAGCUUGCUCUUACGGGUGGUGAGUGGCGGACGGGUGAGGAAUACAUCGGAAUCUACUUUUUCGUGGGGGAUAACGUAGGGAAACUUACGCUAAUACCGCAUACGACCUACGGGUGAAAGCAGGGGAUCUUCGGACCUUGCGCGAUUGAAUGAGCCGAUGUCGGAUUAGCUAGUUGGCGGGGUAAAGGCCCACCAAGGCGACGAUCCGUAGCUGGUCUGAGAGGAUGAUCAGCCACACUGGAACUGAGACACGGUCCAGACUCCUACGGGAGGCAGCAGUGGGGAAUAUUGGACAAUGGGCGCAAGCCUGAUCCAGCCAUACCGCGUGGGUGAAGAAGGCCUUCGGGUUGUAAAGCCCUUUUGUUGGGAAAGAAAAGCAGCAGGUUAAUACCCCACUGUUCUGACGGUACCCAAAGAAUAAGCACCGGCUAACUUCGUG
rnacentral:rRNA from 1 species